rnacentral:rRNA from 1 species
UUAAGUGACUAAGCGUACAAGGUGGAUGCCUUGGCAAUCAGAGGCGAGGAAGGACGUGCUAAUCUGCGAAAAGCUUGGAUGAGUCGAUAAGAGGCGUUUAAUCCAAGAUGUCCGAAUGGGGAAACCCAGUAGAUGAAGAAUCUACUAUCACUUACUGAAUCCAUAGGUAAGUGAGGCAAACCGGGAGAACUGAAACAUCUAAGUACCCCGAGGAAAAGAAAUCAACCGAGAUUUCGUUAGUAGCGGCGAGCGAACGCGAAGGAGCCUGUUAGUGAUAAUGGCAGAGACAGAGGAACAAGCUGGGAAGCUUGGCGAUACAGGGUGAUAGCCCCGUACUCGAAGUCCAGGUCAUGGUACUAAGCUAACGAUAAGUAGGGCGGGACACGUGAUAUCCUGUUUGAAGAUGGGGGGACCAUCCUCCAAGGCUAAAUACUCCUGAUUGACCGAUAGUGAACCAGUACUGUGAAGGAAAGGCGAAAAGAACCCCGGUGAGGGGAGUGAAAUAGAACCUGAAACCUUGUACGUACAAGCAGUGGGAGCCCUUUAAGGGUGACUGCGUACCUUUUGUAUAAUGGGUCAGCGACUUAUAUUUUGUAGCGAGGUUAACCGAAUAGGGGAGCCGAAGGGAAACCGAGUCUUAACUGGGCGUCUAGUUGCAAGGUAUAGACCCGAAACCCGGUGAUCUAGCCAUGGGCAGGUUGAAGGUUGGGUAACACUAACUGGAGGACCGAACCGACUAAUGUUGAAAAAUUAGCGGAUGACUUGUGGCUGGGGGUGAAAGGCCAAUCAAACCGGGAGAUAGCUGGUUCUCCCCGAAAUCUAUUUAGGUAGAGCCUUGAGCGGACACCUUCGGGGGUAGAGCACUGUUUCGGCUAGGGGUCCAUCCCGGAUUACCAACCCGAUGCAAACUACGAAUACCGAAGAGUGAUACUCAGGAGACACACGGCGGGUGCUAACGUCCGUCGUGGAGAGGGAAACAACCCAGACCGCCAGCUAAGGUCCCAAAGUCUAUAUUAAGUGGGAAACGAAGUGGGAAGGCUUAGACAGCUAGGAUGUUGGCUUAGAAGCAGCCAUCAUUUAAAGAAAGCGUAAUAGCUCACUAGUCGAGUCGGCCUGCGCGGAAGAUGUAACGGGGCUCAAAUAUAGCACCGAAGCUGCGGCAUCAGUAGCAAUACUGUUGGGUAGGGGAGCGUUCUGUAAGCGGAUGAAGAUGGCUCGAGAGGGCUGUUGGACGUAUCAGAAGUGCGAAUGCUGACAUAAGUAACGAUAAAACGGGUGAAAAACCCGUUCGCCGGAAGACCAAGGGUUCCUGUCCAACGUUAAUCGGGGCAGGGUGAGUCGGCCCCUAAGGCGAGGCUGAAAAGCGUAGUCGAUGGGAAACGGGUUAAUAUUCCCGUACUUGGAUAAACUGCGAUGUGGGGACGGAGCAGGUUAGGUUAUCGCACUGUUGGAUAUGUGCGUUUAAGUUGGUAGGUGUGAAGUUUAGGCAAAUCCGGACUUCUUUAACACCGAGAGAUGAUGACGAGGCUCUACGGAGCUGAAGUAACCGAUACCACACUUCCAGGAAAAGCCACUAAGCUUCAGGUUUAUCUAAACCGUACUGAAAACCGACACAGGUGGUCAGGUAGAGAAUACUCAGGCGCUUGAGAGAACUCGGGUGAAGGAACUAGGCAAAAUAGCACCGUAACUUCGGGAGAAGGUGCGCCGGCGUAGAUUGUAGUCCCUAGCGGGCGAAGGUUGAACCGGUCGAAGAUACCAGCUGGCUGCAACUGUUUAUUAAAAACACAGCACUCUGCAAACACGAAAGUGGACGUAUAGGGUGUGAUGCCUGCCCGGUGCUGGAAGGUUAAUUGAUGGUGUAAUCGAAAGAGAAGCUCCUGAUCGAAGCCCCAGUAAACGGCGGCCGUAACUAUAACGGUCCUAAGGUAGCGAAAUUCCUUGUCGGGUAAGUUCCGAC